rnacentral:rRNA from 1 species
UACAGAGGUCUCAACCGUUGUUCGGAUUCAUUGGGCGUAAAGGGUGCGUAGGCGGUCGGGUAAGUCGGAUGUGAAAUCCCAGGGCUCAACCCUGGAACUGCAUUCGAUACUGCCUGGCUAGGGUACUGGAGAGGAGACUGGAAUUUACGGUGUAGCAGUGAAAUGCGUAGAUAUCGUAAGGAAGACCAGUGGCGAAGGCGGGUCUCUGGACAGUUCCUGACGCUGAGGCACGAAGGCCAGGGGAGCAAACGGG